AAAAUUAUAGUUGAAAAUAUGGCAAAAGAUAGUGCUUAGUGCAAAUAAGCUUUUAGUAGAACAAAUAAAAAGAGAAAGAACAUAGAUGCAACUGUAGAAUACUCUUACACUGUCCUUGAUGACUAACAAACAGUGCAUACAUCCAUCCAUAACAAGACCAUAACCCAUAAACAAGUAAAGACGAAUAUCUCAAUACACCCACCUAAAACAACACCAAAUCCAGAUAUAAGGAAGAGGAGAAGAAAAAACCCUUAC
rnacentral:misc_RNA from 1 species